GACGAACGCUGGCGGCGUGCUUAACACAUGCAAGUCGAACGGAAAGGUCCUGCUUGCCGGGUACUCGAGUGGCGAACGGGUGAGUAACACGUGGGUGAUCUGCCCUGCACUUCGGGAUAAGCCUGGGAAACUGGGUCUAAUACCGGAUAGGAGCCAUUUUUAGUGUGAUGGUUGGAAAGUUUUUUCGGUGUAGGAUGAGCUCGCGGCCUAUCAGCUUGUUGGUGGGGUAAUGGCCUACCAAGGCGGCGACGGGUAGCCGGCCUGAGAGGGUGGACGGCCACAUUGGGACUGAGAUACGGCCUAGACUCCUACGGGAGGCAGCAGUGGGGAAUAUUGCACAAUGGGCGCAAGCCUGAUGCAGCGACGCCGCGUGGGGGAUGACGGCCUUCGGGUUGUAAACUCCUUUCGCUAGGGACGAAGCUUUUUGUGACGGUACCUAGAUAAGAAGCACCGGCUAACUACGUG
rnacentral:rRNA from 1 species